rnacentral:lncRNA from 1 species
UUGGUUUAAAGCAUUGAAUAAAGCAUUGAUACCUUUCCCGUUGAACGAAGAUAGUUCAUUUUCCUCUUUCGUCCAUUUAUUCCUAGGUUUCGGCACGGUAACAUUCUCGACAACUUCGGUAGGAUUUUUCCAUCCGAAUUCAAUGACUUGCCAAACCCGCUCGUCGAUAGCAAUAAGAAACGCCCUCAUACGGACUUUCCAAUAAGCAUAGUUAGUGCCAUCGAAGAGCGGGGGUCGAUUGAUGUUACCGCCCUCAGCCAUGAAUUACAACCUAUACCCGCUCUAAUACCACUUGUGAGAUAUGGAUCCCGAAGAUCUAAAAGGUAAGUAACACCUAGAGGGGGGUGAAUAGGUGUAAAUCCGGCAAACU